ACAAAAUAUGCAAAGCACAUAUCACCUCCGUGAAUUUCACAAAUGCUUUAAAGGCCAAGGAAGCAGUGUUUUCUGCCCCAUUACUCCCCAGAAAAGCUAAUUACAAUUCAGAUACUGCACGUGAUGAAGGCCAGGCGCGGAAGAUGGCAAAAUCCCUGAAUAUCCGGAAAGAGGCAACCUGCUGCUUUGGAAGAGGAAGGCCUCCUCUCCCAAAGGAUGCCGGCCUCAGAAUCAGGCUUUAAAUUUUACCUGAUACGAGCAGUUAUCCUGAUGUACCAUCUCAGUGCAUCCUAGGGCGCAGACCCCAACGCAGGACUGCUGAGCGAGGCUGCGGAGGGCAGGCGCGGAGCAUCCACCGGCGGGCGGAGAGAACGCCCUGCAGCCCUAACAGACUAAGACGAAUACUAACUGAGGACCCACCAGACUUGGAGAAAUAAACCCCUUUUGACUGAGCCAACUGAGGCUGCUCUUGAAAUCAAAAUCUAUCAUAAAGUAAGAGUGAAGCUGCAGCGUGGGUCUACCUAAAACUCAAUUCAAGUUGAAACAAGCUCCUAUCAUGUGCCAUGUGAAGUAGUGUUUCUGCCCUCGAGAAGUUUGGUAAGAGAAAUGAGGCAGUACACAAAUGACUAGAUAUGACGAAGAUGAGUUAAAUGCCUCCGAAUAUUUUGUUUGCUCACUAGAAAUUCAAGAGAAGAGAACGCUCAGCUAGAGUGAACCAGGAGACUGCAACAAUCUUGUUCAUUUGGUUAUUCACUUAUUUAAUGUCUGUAUUUUGUAGAUCUAGAUUAAUGUGAAUUUCCUUAGAACUUACAUCUUGGUUGGUUUACUCAGUGCUAUAUCCCCAAUGUCUGACAUAGUACCUGGUUCUCAAUAAAUACUUUGAAACAAUUGAAUAAAUGCAUAUGACCCUCAUGGUAACAUGAUGAAAUGGGAGUAAUGUAAAACAGCUCUUACGUACUCAGGAAAGGAAGAGAAAUGGAUGUUUUCUUCUCCUAAUUAAGAACAACAUCAACUGUCCAAGGAAUAGAGUCCUUUGGAGGAUAGAGGAGAUCAUGGGAAUGGAAGGGCAAAGACAGAGGGAUGCAUCCCAAGACACCAAAAAAGGAACUGAUGGCACUUAGGCAGUGAUCUACAUGGGGGAGUGAGCAAGAUAAGGAAUUGUGAGGUUUUGAGACCAUUACUGGAGUAAAACUGGUGCUGUGAAAAGAAACAGGGAAGUUAGCAGAAGGAACUGAUUCUGAGAGGGUUGGGGUAGAGUAAGGAGGUUUAAAUUUUCAUCAUAAAAUUCGCAGUUGAAGGUGUAAGAGGCAGCUGGAGCUUAAGAGAGAUCAGGCUGACAGGUAGAAUUUAGGGGUCUUUUGCACAGAGAGGACAGUUGAAGCUGUAAAAAUGAAUUAGAUUAAGGGAGAGAUUGUAGAGACAGAACUAAAGAGAAACAAAGACAUCACUGUGGAAGGCACAAUAAUGUCCCCUGUCUCCUGGGUCAACUGUCUACAACCUAAUCCCCAAGCGGCAAGGUAAAAUUAUGAUAAGCAGCUGUCUUUGAGAUGGGGAAAGUAGCCUGGUUAUCCAGAUGAGCUCAAUGUAAUAAUCACAAGGGUCUUAUAAAGUAAAAGUCGGGGAGGCAUAAGAGAAAGAACCAGAGACGGCAGUAUGAGAAAGGCUUGGUCCAAUGUUGUU
rnacentral:lncRNA from 10 species